UCAGCAGACAUGGAAAGUCCUUCCAGCUCUACCCCUGUGUAUUUCCCAGCGAAUGCUCUCGGAUUUUAGGACUUACCUCCUAAAAUUUUCACUUGGUCUAAAGCAAAAGGCCCCAGGCUUUCUGUCAGGAGCUGCAACUUUUCAUCUGAUGAGGAGAUGAAGAGAUGGCACAUCAGAGAAAAGUGACAAAGGUGGCAAAGGUGUGGAGUGGUGCGACUGGCAUUUCCAUUCCAGAGUGCAUCACUUCAAACCUUACAUUCCUGAGGCUGUUCGUCGAAGGCUUCUCACAUCUAAACUGCAGUUCAUUUAUUGCAGAGCCCUGUUCACAUGGGUUCUCAGAGACAUUUUCAUUCUCGCUUCUCACCACGCUGGAGAUGAGAACUAGAUGUGGUUUUCUAGAUACAGUCUACAUUUCCCUUUGAAUCUGGAAGUCCGGCUUCAAGGUGAUCCACAAACAUCCGAGAAGGAAAGAAACUUAGAGGUAAAUGAUUCAAUGAUUCUUAAAACCUGACUGUGGCACUCUUCUCCAAAUACCUCUGUUCUCCUCCAUAUUUCUCAGCCCCUUUGAAGAGGCAGGCCCAUGGGAUGAAUUCUGACCAAUGGAUUUGGCUAAGAUUUAAGAGCCAGUGCACCAUCCUUCAGCUAACUCUUCUCUCCACCUGCUGCAAGGACAUAAACAUUUCAAUGGCACAAAGAUAGAGCACCUUGAAUUGUUACUGCAAAGAAGACAUCUUUUCUGGAGAGUCACCCAAGCAGUGGAUUUGUGAAUAAAUAAAUCUUGUGUUAAGGUUC
ensembl:lncRNA LINC02126 long intergenic non-protein coding RNA 2126